rnacentral:rRNA from 1 species
GAUGAACGCUGGCGGCGUGCUUAACACAUGCAAGUCGAACGGAAAGGCUCCUGCUUGCCGGGGUACUCGAGUGGCGAACGGGUGAGUAACACGUGGGUGAUCUGCCCUGCACUUCGGGAUAAGCCUGGGAAACUGGGUCUAAUACCGGAUAGGACCACAUUUUGGAUGGUGUGGUGGAAAGUUUUUCGGUGUGGGGUGAGCUCGCGGCCUAUCAGCUUGUUGGUGGGGUAAUGGCCUACCAAGGCGUCGACGGGUAGCCGGCCUGAGAGGGUGUACGGCCACAUUGGGACUGAGAUACGGCCCAGACUCCUACGGGAGGCAGCAGUGGGGAAUAUUGCACAAUGGGCGCAAGCCUGAUGCAGCGACGCCGCGUGGGGGAUGACGGCCUUCGGGUUGUAAACUCCUUUCGCUAGGGACGAAGCGCAAGUGACGGUACCUGGAGAAGAAGCACCGGCUAACUACGUG